UACGGAGGAGGCAAGCGUUAUCCGGAAUUAUUGGGCGUAAAGCGUCCGUAGGUGGCUAGUCAAGUCUGCGGUCAAAGACUGGGGCUUAACCCUGGAAAGGCCGUGGAAACUGACGAGCUAGAGUGCAGUAGGGGUAGAGGGAAUUCCCGGUGUAGCGGUGAAAUGCGUAGAGCUCGGGAAGAACAUCGGUGGCGAAAGCGGCUCACUGGCCGGAAUCUGACACUGAGGUGCGAAAGCUAGGGUAGCAAACGGG
rnacentral:rRNA from 1 species